rnacentral:RNase_P_RNA from 1 species
GCAGUUGGUCGGUCUGCCGCCUGCACCAUGUGCGUGCACGAGGAAAGUCCGGGCAACACAGAGCAUCCCACUUCCUAACAGAAAGCUGUCCGCGAGGGUAGAGUAACGCAGAAGAAAAUAACCGCCGCAGUCUUUGGCUGCGGCAAGGGUGAGAAGGUGAGGUAAGAGCUUACCGGCCUUGUGGCGACACAAGGGCUGUGCGUCUUGGGAGUUGUAAGGUCAUGUAUACCGGCGUUAUGAGGGUUGCUCGCCCCAUGUCGGAGGGUAGACCGCUAAAGCCGUAUGGCGACAUGCGGCUCAGAUAAAUGGCAGGCACUUCUAAAUGGCGAGAAACAAAGGGUCAGGGAUGAAUAAUCCUGACACAGGACUUUCUCUUCGGCAGAAGAACAGAACCCGGCUUACAGACCUACUGCUUUU